rnacentral:rRNA from 1 species
ACACGUGGGCAAUCUGCCCUUCACUCUGGGACAAGCCCUGGAAACGGGGUCUAAUACCGGAUACGACCCGGGAAGGCAUCUUCUCGGGUGGGAAGCACCGGCGGUGAAGGAUGAGCCCGCGGCCUAUCAGCUUGUUGGUGGGGUAACGGCCCACCAAGGCGACGACGGGUAGCCGGCCUGAGAGGGCGACCGGCCACACUGGGACUGAGACACGGCCCAGACUCCUACGGGAGGCAGCAGUGGGGAAUAUUGCACAAUGGGGCGAAAGC